GGAAUCUUCCACAAUGGGCGCAAGCCUGAUGGAGCAACGCCGCGUGAGUGAAGAAGGUUUUCGGAUCGUAAAGCUCUGUUGUAAGAGAAGAACGUGUGUGAGAGUGGAAAGUUCACACAGUGACGGUAACUUACCAGAAAGGGACGGCUAACUACGUGCUAG
rnacentral:rRNA from 1 species